rnacentral:misc_RNA from 1 species
GUGAGCGCAAUCAGCGGU